UGGACCCUGGGAGGCUUCUGAGGUUCUGAGGGACUCAUCUUUAUAAUGUACUUCAAUUAGUGGACGGCCAGACCCUGAGGGGCCGGACUACACUAUCCAGAUCACCGUUAAAGUAUCCUUACAUAUUGGAUGUGAGUUAAACAGACUCUGGACUACAUUAAUACAACCUGUUGUCUAGAGCACCACUAUUUAGAAGACUGCCAUUUGUUUCUCCUGGCAUCAACCACGAUCACGUAUGCGCUUUAUAUCUUGCCGUACUCCAAUAUCUACGGUUGAUGGCUGUCUGUGAGUUUCACAUGCCCGCUAUAUCAAGAUGCCCGAUCUUGUAUUUAUCCCUUUAGACCUCCCGGGAAUACUAUCUGGUCCAAUUCCCUUUCAUUUUUAACUUUAUAUGUUAUUUGACACCGCCUGCUAGACGGCUACCUGAUAGGGAUGCCAACAUUGUUUGGGUCUCCACCCGUCUGACAUGGUCUUUGCUCUAUUAUCCUUAUUGGUGAUUUAUCUUAUACGUAUCCACCCCCUGAUGAUCCCACAUGGUGGGGGAAACGCGUCGGGGCUUUACACAGACUUGAUCUGUGACAUAAUUUGACUAUCCUUCAUUCGGUGUCUUUAUGUAAUUAUAGUUUAGUUUAUUGCAUCGUGUACCUGUUGGUCCUCUGCAUCAACAGGGCUGUAUACGCCGUGCACUGUGUGUUAUUGAUCCUCUUUGUCCACGCCCAUACCGGCCCGCCACAGUCGACCCUGACUCUCAACCACCUCACUCGUUAGGGCACAUCAGGAGUGUCCAGUUAGGUUCGAGGACAGGGGGCCUCCACCAUCAGGAGUCGCCCCUGGGCUCAGGGCCGAGCAUUAGGGAUUUUAGCCUAGGGCUAUCUCCAACAUCCCCUCCCCCAAA